AUCCUAUAGCUGCGCCAAAUGUACCUGGAGCAGUAAAGGCUCCUCGCGUACGUCGGAAUGUUCAAGCGGUUGCAAGUGCGUUGAUGGCACACAGGCUUGUCCCCUACCUAGAGGCUUCCUAGCAGACAAGCUUUAAGUCUGGUAAGAAUCAAUGAGUAAAGAUAAUACCAAGCGAGCCUGCCUGCGGCUACCAGAAGCUGACGCAGCAGUAGGGAGCUUCUAGUGCCUCUUCCACAAACUGCUCAGCAGAUUGUUGCAACAAGAACCAGGCUGUGGCAUCGGCAUGAUCAACAAAGCAAAUGUUGUCUCCUAUAUCAAAGCUAUGCCACUAUGUUCAAAGUGAACAUAAACCUUGUUCUAUCUUGCAUCUACUACUGCAAUCUAUUGAUAGAAAGAUGUUUUUGUGUUUGUUCAACUUCUAGGUGUCUCUGUUCGGUAAACCAUUGUUGAUAUUUUGCUUGUGCUUCCGUAUACCCCUGAACUACUUGCUAUGUCAGAAACCUCAACCACCUAAGUUUGUACUAGCACAUCUGGUUCAUACUAUAUUUUGUUACCAUACUGGUUC